ACUCAUCACGUGUUACCAGAGUCACGUGACUUCCGCUUUUGUAACAAUAUCUUUGUUCUGUUUCUUCCCUCAGCCGCCCUACUCCAGAGGACUCGAGAACAGAGAUAGAAGAAACGCCCAGUCUCAUGACAUCGGCCAUCUGUACAGUUGUUCAGGAGGAAGACCCAUCUCUCAACCUCUGUUGCGAGAGUAUAAAUCCCAGUUAUCCAGCCCAUGGGUUGAACAGGAUGUGGACGACAUCUUAACGGUUAACUUAUCUCAUGGGAAGGCAUCAUCUGCCGCCAGGUGGCACGGCGAUUCCAAACAAGGUGCAGGAAAUGCUCAAUUCUAUUGGCAUGGAUACACUAGGCAGCCGGAGGUCGGGGCUAGGUACCUCUAUAGCACCAGAAGAUGUAACGUUGAUAACUUGUUCAUUUUAGAUACACUAGACAGCCGGAGGUCGGGGCUAGGUACCUCUAUAACACCAGAAGAUGUAACGUUGAUAACUUGUUCAUUUUAGAUACACUAGGCAGCCGGAGGUCGGGGCUAGGUACCUCUAUAACACCAGAAGAUGUAACGUUGAUAACUUGUU